rnacentral:rRNA from 1 species
UACGCAGGGGGCUAGCGUUGCUCGGAAUGACUGGGCGUAAAGGGCGCGUAGGCGGAUGGCACAGUCAGAUGUGAAAUUCCCGGGCUUAACCUGGGGGCUGCAUUUGAUACGUGUGAUCUAGAGUGAGGAAGAGGGUCGUGGAAUUCCCAGUGUAGAGGUGAAAUUCGUAGAUAUUGGGAAGAACACCGGUGGCGAAGGCGGCGACCUGGUCCUUGACUGACGCUGAGGCGCGAAAGCGUGGGGAGCAAACAGG